UCUUUUACUAAAUUGCAGCCUAAACAUGUCUUAUUUUAUUCAAUGACGAGAGGAAUCGACUUCAUUCAAGUAAAACAUAUAUAUGUAAUGGUAUCAAAAUCAUGAGUAUGCGCGCAAUGUAUAGCAUAACAUGCGGAUAAUGUCAUAUAUUGUGAUGAAUCAUGAUUGUAUCUGUGAAGACGAACACUAUAGUUUACAAUUGAAGUAGCCGACAAAGUAGGCAACACUCAAGUUUUGCCUUGGGCACUUAUAUUUUUGGCUGUCAUUAGCUGAAGAUAUAGCAGAAUUGUCGUUGGCAGGGAUCACUGGUAGUUCCCAAUUGAAUGGGAAAUAGUUGUAUGUGAAAAGAACCUGCAUAAAUAGCCACUACACAUAUCAAAUGAGAAAACACAUAUCAGUUGUGUUAUCUUUCAGUCAUCUACGUUAUCCAUACGUUGCAGUGAACCAAAAAACUGACUUAUUCCAGACAAAACAUUAGGAGAUAUAAGGCUUUCGUAUUAUGACAAUUCAUUACAGUACCAUUAAAACAUGUGAAUCCGGGUUUCAGUCUAAUGUAAUUUAACAGAUUUAAUGCAAAUUUGGUUAAUAUUAUGUUUUGUUGCAGGAAAUGAAAGGUAACAGUAAAACGAGCGAGAAAUGAGUGGUUUUCAUAGUUGAAGUAUCCAUAAUUUACUUCUAGUCGACUCGAACGAAUGAGUAAGUAGGCAUGCAGGAUUUGCCAUCCCUUCCUCUUUUACUUCGGCUUCUCUCUCAGUUGCCUCUCGAAAUGUGGCAAACAGCACCUCCCAGCCAUGUAACUUCAACUCAGACUUAGGGCUGGCCUUGCCUCAUUCUUGAAGCUACUAUUUCUGCCCAACCAAACAUAGAAUAAAGUGACAAAAGAAGUAAUGUUGUUAGUCUGCCUUUUGAAGUUCCCUCGUAUGGCUUAUCUUCCUGUAGGGACCUAACGAAGUUUGGACUUUGAAGAACAAUGAUUUUACUUUGUUUUAAGGGUCGACAAAUAAGGAGUGGACCUAACUUCAUGCCCAUCAUAAAAGACGCAAGGAUAUUUGCGUUAAUGUAAUCGAACCCAGGUAAAUCUCCCGUGACUGUGUCAGAAAAACAAUUUUAGUUUUAACCCUAAAGUGUAGUCUGCGUUAACCUUGUUAGUCACGUAAAUGGGUUGUUGCUUCUUUUCCUUUUACACAGGAGGAGGACAGUACCAUUUGUUGAAGGAGGUAAUCCAAGAGCAAUUGAGCGAAGAUGAUCACCCUUUUGCUCCUGUGAGACUUCAAAUGAUCUUCUCCAAUAAUCCCUACAAAUUUUAAGUUUGGCGUAGGCAAAUUCAGAUUAAACAUAUUGUUAAAAUCAGUACCAAAAAGAAAAGAAUCAUAUUUUUAUCAAACUCCCUCCAUUUUUCACACGCAAAUCGUUUUUCUGGUGAUCACGUAUUACCCAUUGUUCAUCUGAACCAAAAUGAGCCAAGUAUGACUUGAAAAGUGACUUUUACAUGAUGACAUCGUUGAUGUCAUAAGUUGUGCAGUUAUACAGAAAGUGUAACCAACUUUUGAAUCUUAAAGUGAAUGUUAUAGCCACUGCACCUUUUCUUUUUUAAAAACUAUAUAAUUCGAUAAGUAUUAUCAGAAAUACACUUUAGCGGAGCAAAAUUGUCCAACAUUUACAGUUGUGCAGUAAAGACCAGAUUACUGAAAAGACUUGAAGAGCUUUGCUGAUUCAUUGUAUAGAAAGAAGGCAAUUAAAAGAUUUUAAGUUAGAAGAGCCUCCAUUUGCACAUAGAAAGAAGAAAAUAUCCUCCCCCCCCCCCCCCCCCAAAACAAUAUGGGAAUAAACUUCCCAAAGGAAAAUAACAGAAAGAUCAGUGAAGGUUAAAAGUAAGAGUUGUGGAGAAUGGCAGAAAAUAACAAAUAUAAGGAAUCACAAAGGUGGUAACCAGGAAUAGAAAGGGAAAGAGUCGAUGACAAAGGGUAAGCGCUUAAUUACUCUUCACUUUCACUAUAUUAUUAUUCCUCAAAUAGCAAAAAAUAAACUUGGUAAAAAAACAAUUAUUAGCGCAAAAUAAAAGCUAGUUAAUUUAUAAAAACAGUGAGGGAAUGAUUAGAAGUAUAGAGCAAGUUUUAACAUGAAAUUGAUACCUUCAUAAGUUCAUAUCUAGUAGAUUUAAAUUCAAAGAUUGAAUUUUGAAGAGAAACAUAAACGAUUCAUUAUACUCAAAACAACCAAUAUCGCAUUUGAGCUCUAGAUAAUCCACAUUAAAUAUUUCUGAUGCAAGAUAUGAAACAGGAAAUAAUAGUUGAGCCUGCCGACCUUAUAACAUGUUUGGUGGUUGUUAUGUAUGCGUCAUGCCCAAAUAAUUGAUUUGCUGGCGAGAAGAUGCCUCACGUGCAACCUACUUGGUUCAACUCAAAAAUUUUGUUGGCUAAACAUAGCAUCAUAAAAGAAAUAACUGCGACUAAAGGCUCAUAGAAUGGGGAAAAGAAUUGUAAUAAAGUAAGCCAGAAGAACCUUGAAACAGAUAUACCUUAUUGGUUUUGGAAGAUCCAACGUAUGUUGCUUCACUAAUCAUCCUGCAUUUUAGAAUUGCAAAGCAUAAAUAGACAGUAAACUCUCCUCCUUUUUCCGGCUUGGGACCGGCUGUGGUGCAGUAGUGUCACUGAAACACAGGCAGAGUUAAAAACUUGGUUUUUUUUAUUGUUGAGCUAAAGAUCAUUAGGUUUCCUACGAGAAAGCUUUCUAAAUAAUUUCGUCGUAAACGACAUUAUAUGUUGAAUGAUCAUCAUUACUGUCUGUUGUUGAUGGUCGAAUCAGUAUUUUAACACAGUUUGAACUUUUGGCUCUUGAUAAAGCAACGUAAAGUUGACCAUGAGAAAAAACAGGUUCACGUAAGUAAAUUCCAACAAAAUCUAAUGUUUGACCUUGAGCUUUGUUUAUGGUCAUAGCAAAGCACAUUCGUAGGGGAAAUUGUGUUCUCUUAAAUUGAACAGGUAUUUUUUCAUCUUGUGAUGUUAGCAAUGGUAUUCUCGGAAUAAAUAUAUAUGUAUUUUUUAAAUCACCACUUUCAAUUUUAGCACUUAUAACAUGUGUUUUAAAGUGACAGCAUGUCAACCGUGUGCCGUUGCAUAAACCUUUGCAAGGAUUCAGAUUUCGUAAUAAUAUAACUAGACAAUUUUCCUUUAAAGUUAACUUAUAAGGCGGUAAACCGGGAGGAUCUAAACUAUGUAGAAAAUCUUCAAACUGACUUUGAUCACUCGGUUCAAUAGUUUCAUCUACUGCAACAAAUGUUUUAGACAUUUCUGGGAAUUUAGUGAUUAACAUAUUAUUUAGUUCGUUGACAAAGUCAUUCUUCGUUGUUAAAAUAACACGAGAUGCUAUCAUAGAUGAAUCAGGAAAAAAUGCAUGCAAAUCAGGAUAUGUUACACUAAACAAUGCAUCUAAGAAUUCUUCUUCGGUCGUAAAAGGAAUAACAAAGGAAUCAAGAAUCUCUAUUUUUUCUUCACAGAUAGUUAUUUCUGUUCCAUUUCCAAUUCAGAGUAAAUAUUCACAAAAAGAAGGAUCUAUUCUUGCGCGCAUAUUUUCAGAUAAGCAUAAUUUUUCAAGUUUAUUCCAAAUUUCAGAAUACAAUAAGCUUUCGUGAAUAAAAUCUUCUUUUUUCCCAUUUCGAACAACUGGUAGAGUUUGUCUAAAGUCACCUCCAAAUACAACAACUUUACCACCGAACAUUGUAUCGACGUUCAUAAUAUCUCUUAGAACUGCAUCAAGAGCUUCAAUCAUAUUCUUUUUUGCCAUUGAUGCCUCAUCCCGUACAAUUAAUUUUGCAUCUCUAAUUAAACGUGCGACGGAACUUUGUUUACUAAUGUUGCAGCAAAAAUUAUCAUCUAUAUCAAUAGGCAUUUCGAACCGGGAGUGAGCAGUCCGUCCUCCUGGAAGGAUAGAAGCUGCUACACCAGAAGUUGCAGUUGCUAAAGCUAUAAAUCCUUGGAACCAGAUAGUUGCCAAUAAUGCACGGUACAAAAAUGUUUUACCUGUUACUCCAGGACCAUCGAUGAAAAAAGCUCCUUGUUUUCCAGAAAAUACUCUAUUAAUUAUUGUAUUAUAUGCAUGUAAUUGUUGAACAUUCAAUCUCUUCGGUAAGAGCAAGUCUUUUUCACUAACAAUAAUAUUUCUUUCAAAAUGAACAUCCUUUGCAUCCUUUGCAAUUUCAGAAGGUCUAAUAUUCUCUGGGAUAAGCUUAUACUCAUUUAUGUCGUGUCCCAUAGAGUAUAAGAUAUCAUUGAUAUGGCUUAAAACCUUGUGCCGAACGGUUUUUCCUUGAAAAACAGAGAAAUGUUUAAAGUUUUCGGACAUUGAAUCUUCAAACAUUUACCAUAAUAUUUUUGGAUUAGAAGGAUUGCAAUAUACUAACAAUGUCGCAAAUAAACGUCUCAAGCUAUAUGGCAUUUGAUAGCUUACAGCCUCCGACAUACAUUCAAUUAAACUGUUGUUACAGUAUAAUAAUUCUCUUUUUUCUGUUGAUUCUCUAAAUGUACCACAGGGUACCUCGUUAACGGUGCGAAGAUCUUCAUAUGAUUUAGGUCCUCUCACAUUCAUCAAUAAUAACCUGAGAUAAUACCUCUCUCCUUCUGUUGGAUGACAUGUUACAACACGUCUGAUUAUGUUACAUUUUUUGCGACGUCCACGUUCUAUAUCCUGGAGACCAUACAAAAUGUUCUGGGAAUUCCUUAUACAGUAAUUGCAUAGCUAUAGCAUGUUCAUCAGUUGCAUUCAUAACAAAAAAUUCUGUCAACAUUGUUUUUCUAAUCAUCGGAUUAUUUAGAAUUCUAUUAACAAUUUCACUACUUUUAAAGGAAACAAAUUGUUGCCCUUCUAAAUGUAAUUGAAGAUGAUAAACACUCGGAGUCAUUUCAUUAAUAAGAAAACCAAAUAAACGCCAUGCCGCUUCAGGGGGUGUUACCCAUCUAGCAGAUCGAUAUUCUUUUAUUUCAUCUAUUUCUUCAUUGUUAUGUAUAGAAAAGGCAAUUUUAUCAUGUCCUUUGCAAAUGUAUUUGUAAAUAUAUUUUACAACUUUAAUAUCAGAACAAACUUCAAUAUUCAUAUGACAAUCAAACUUACAAAGUAAGUAAGGGUUGUAUGGGACAACCCAUGAAUUGUCCAGAUAUUGUUCCCUUAUAUGUACAAGUUCGCCUGUGUUUCGUCUUCUAUAAAUUAGAUACGAAUUCUUACCUUUUGAUGUUUGCUCAGCAAAAUCUUUUGGAUAAUCAAAUUUACAAAGCCCUCUUUUUACCAUACAUGAAUUUGUAGGAUUUAAAUCACCACACGGUCCGUGCAUCAUAUGCUAAAGCACGCGUGAAUAAAGGUGCUCUUUGGUAUUACGAUCAGGCAACUCAGCGCAAACAAACUUAUCAUAAGACUCAGGGGUUAAUAAUUUGUAUUCAUCACUAAGUAUGAUAAGAAAAUGAGUAUGUGGAAGACCACGUUUUUGAAAUUCUAUAGUAUACAUAAAAGCAGCAACUUUUCCAAAGAUUUUUCUUUUUAAGAUAUCUGCCUUUAAUUCUUCUACUUUUGCUCUGAAUACUCGUGAUACUAAAUCAGGUCUAUUUUGAGUUUCAUCCAUUGAUAACAAGUGUUGUUUAUUUCUGGCCAAGACGGAUUGCAUGUCAUAGUUAAAAAAAUAUCAGGUUUCCCAAAAUGUUGCACUAAUGCAAUAGCAUCCAUAUACCGUCGACGCAUAUCUCUUGACCCUCCUAUAAAAGUAACAGGGAGGAAUGUUUUCUUCCUAAUCUUGGAAGCUUCUGUUUCCCCAAGUCUUAAAAAAUCAACAAGUCCUUGUAGCAUAUCUAUUCAAAACAAAUCUUGAUUAAAAAAAUAAAAAUCUAAUCUUUGUGUUUCUAGCUUUAUGAACACAUCUACUAUGAAUUGUUGAAAUAAUCUUGCACAAUGUAGGACUUCAUUUUUGUCAUCCUCUCUUAUCUGAAAUUUGUAACAAUAAUACUCAUGGCAAGAAACUGUCUCUCUUUUCCGUUUUCCUUUUUCCAUAAUUUGAGCUUCCAUAUCAAGAAAUCCAUCAAUGGAACAUAUAUUUUUUACAUUCGGUAAUUCUUCAUGUUUACAAUAACGUUAAUCUCUUCGCGUGAUUUUUUUAAUACCACAAUGCCAUCCGUUUUGACCGUAUGAAAAUAACAACGGGUAUUGUAAUGGGUCAUAACAUCCAUAAUAAUACUUUACUGACUGAAUCUUGUCACUAUGUGUGUAUAUACAAAUAUGAGGGGUAGAAACAGUAUCGGCAGCAUUAUCAUGUACCCAUAUUCCAGCCACCUCUAUUGUAGUUGGUAGAUUAUAUACACGUUGAUCUGACUUUGGUUCACAUUUAAGCGCGAUAUAGCAGUCGGACAGUUUCGGGACAUUUGUCAAGAAUUUUAAAAAAAUAGAAUAUGGAUUAAUUGAUAGCACAUGCAUAAGUUUCUUUACAAUUGAUUCGUUGAUAUUUCUUGAACAAGCUAUUCUGUUAACCAGUUCAUUUUCAUUAUCAUAAAAGUAUAACUGCAUAUUCUUUCCUUUUUUAUCAGAAGGAAGUAAAUCAGGUGUAAAAUGAUAUAUUUGUCCUUGAACUCGAAAGGUAUAUAUACCAUGAUAUCUCCUCGCCAAAACUUUAUCGUUGGUUACACCAAGUGACGUAAAGGCAAACAUAUUGUUGUAUGUUCUAAUGUAGGUUCGAAAGUGCUUAGCUUCUUCAGUGUUGCCUUUAUACAAAUCUGAUAAUUCAUUAGGCAGUUCAUAUGAAACUAACUUAACUGACCCGCUGCCACAACAAAAUCCAGGAGGUUCAUAUUGAAACCUUUUUGCAUUGCAAAAUUUACAGUUUGGAACAGGUUUUAAUCGUACAUAAUCUGUAUCUUUGUCAUUAUUUUUCUUAUGGAUUACUUUGGUCAAGGUACAACCUGUAUGUUAUAAGUAUUGUUAAAAAUAAAGAGAUGGAAAAUAUUCUACUAAUGAAUAGUGUUACUCUAGCGUAAAAGAAAUACUAACCUUUGCGUGUGGAAAUAGGGAAGACAUUUUGUUGUCCCUUAGAUAUAUGUGAUGUUGAUCCUGGGGCACAAAUUGUCACAAUUUAGAUGUACGCCUAAGCCGUGACGUUCUAAAAAAUAUGUUCAUAGACGUUCUAGCUUUACCUCUUUCAAAUACAGAAAACGCAUGAGCGAUAUUUUUUCCUUUAUCCAAAGAACUUGAGGAAGUAUUAACAUCAUGCUUGUUGCCAAUUGCGACAAAUAUGAAACACAUUUUACAUUUAAUAUAUGCAAGUAAACAUGUGAUAUCCUACUCUGUGUAUAAAAUAGUUACUUAAUAAAUUAUGAAUAUUUAUCUGUCUGUUGCUACACUAACAUAACGUAAAUAAAACGCAAUAGUUCAGUCUAACCUUCGUCAUCAGCAAAAGAAGUCUCUCGUAUGGUAACAACACUAUCUUUUCGAAUCAUAGGGUGACAUUGAUACAUUACUCUUUCAUCUGGAUCAACUAUUGAUUUUAUGGAACUAUUCCAUUUUUGCCGCUUAAGUUCUUUGGUGCGGCGUUGUAGUAACAUUGCCUUUUUUUUAUCGGGCGAUAUUUGCCCAUAAAUAUCACGUCUUCUGACAUUCUUGUCAGAGUUCAUAUGGUCGUUUGUUUCUUCGCCCGGGAUACAUUUUUUUCACAAGCUUGGUACCGCAAAAGAACUGCAUUUAGAACAUUCAAACCAAAAAAGGCAUCAACAAACCCUAAGUAACAAAUUUUAUUGUUCAUUCUACUAAUAAAUAAUAGAAUGUAAUAACCCGUCGGGUUAAGUCUUUUAAAGACCAGCCUUUUAUAAAUAAAAAAAGAAUUACUGUAUCACCCUUCUCUUCCUAAAUCACCAAUUCAUCUAAAUCUAUAACCUAAACAAUGGUGUCAUUAAUUAGCCCACGGUUAUACAGAAACAUUAACUAUGAAUCUCACCAAAUAGCUUAAACUUGAUCAGCUAAGUAUUUGACAAUGGCAGUCAUACUAAUUAACAUAACCAAAAUCUACAUAACAUUAUACUCAAUUUCACUAAUCCAAAAACCUGUAAAAUCUAAAUACAAUAAAGAUUCAUCUAAAUGUAUAACCUAAACAAUGGUGUCACUAAUUAGCCCACAGUUACACAGAAGCAUUAACUAUGAAUCUCACCAAAUAGCUUAAACCUGAUCAGCUAAGUAUUUGACAUUGACAGUCAUACUAAUUAACAUAACCAAAAUCUACAUAACAUUAUACUCAAUUUCACUAAUCCAAAAACCUGUAAAAUCUAAAUAUAAUAAAUAAAGAACGGUAAUGCAAAAUAAAAGAAACUAAGAAAAUUAUUUUAUAAAAACACUGUAGGAUUUUCAUUACCUAAGAUUGAAGAAAGAGAACUAUUGAAUGGUCUUCAAAUCACACCAUCUGAAUCUGAAUGACGCUUUGACUUUGCUUUGUAUUCGUUUGUUUAUUUAUUUUCUUUAUUUAUUUUUCUGAAUCUGAAUCUGCAGAAUUAUAAAAAUAGUACUUAUCUCUGUGAUUUGAGAGAAGGGGUCUGUGGGGAUCGAGGAUAUGGCAAUGGCAACUUCCGCUACUCUUCUUCUACUGCACUCCUUCCUCUUUUUGGGUCUCGUUAUAACGGACAUGGAUUCAAUCUCAUUAUUUCUAUUGUUAUAAUAGUUAUUUGGGUCCCAUUUUUAAUUUUACUCCCAUGGUCCCAAAAACUUUUAAAGAUUUAAAGAAAGUAGAACAUCACGAAAAAAAUGAAGACAACUUAGAAUUCACAUAAAAAAUCCAAAACAAAUUAAUAAAAACAAAGAACAAAUCAGAACUCAACCUCAGUUUGUUUUCAGCUUUCUAAAACGGAUCUUAAGACCAAACUGAAGAAAAUAUUGCUAAUCAAGCCAAAACCACAAAGAUCUGAUCUUUUUGCAGAAGAAGAAAAAGUAGAACAGAAAGCAUAAAUAAAAUGAAAUGCUGGAGUGAUUGGAAUAAACCUGCUCUUUGUGGUAUAUGUGAAUCGAAAAAGGCUAACUUCUCUAAAUUCGUUGAAUUAGCAAGUGAGGUCUGCUGGAUUUUGGGGCAAUAGAUGCUCAACUUGGAAGUGGAUGCUUGUAACAAGUUCCGUUGAAUGAGUUUUUACCUUUGAGGAAUUGGGAGUCCACGUGUUCAGCGACCGCAGAAAGAGUCAGCAAUUGUAAGGUUGAGCUGUAAAUUAAUGAAAUUACAGGAAUACCCCCAGACUAAUUGGAAAAUUCAGCAACUGGUUGAUUAAUUGGGACCAAAAGUUACAUGGUGUUGAUGAAUUUGAUGGUGCGAAAUAUUGGAAACCAGAUAAGGCCCUAAUUGAGUGGCUACACAGCUGUUUAGAUGUUAUUUGGUUGCUGGUAGAGAAUGAUAAAGGCCACAUACCAUUUUAUGAACUUCUCCGCAGUGGGUUGCAGUUUUUAGAAAACAUACCAGAUGAUGAAGCUCUGUUCACUCUCAUUUUGGAGAUCCAUCGGAGGCGAGAUAUGAUGGCUAUGCAUAUGCAAAUGUUGGAUCAACACCUUUACUGCCCUACAUUUGGGACCCCUCGACUUCUGCCUCAAGCCACUGCAAGUUCGUCCGGUGAAGCAGUUGCUAACAUGAGAUAUUCACCAAUUACAUAUCCUAGUGUGCUUGGGGAACCACUGCAUGGAGAGGUGUGUAUAUGUGAUAUCUUAUUAGAAACAUGUUAAAAUAUUGUGUAGAACCUUACUGAUAAAAAUAUGUAAACAGUAAAAAAGAAAUGUUAAUAAGGAAUCUGUUUGCUUGAGAAUGAAGGAGCAGUUGAGACAUCUUCCAGGCUGAAAGACAUUUUAGCAUCAAUGUUCAGCAGUCCUCCUUAACAUCAACAAUAAUAUAUGUUCUAUCUGUGACAGAAAAUUCAUAUACAACUUUGUUUUCUGCCCGUCUUUAGUCGAAGAAGGAUAGUAGUGUUGUAAUGUGCUUCAAUUAUUUUUGACUAAAUUAUUUUGGUCUCUAUCUAUAUUUAUACUAUAUUAAAAGUACGAAGCCCCUUAGCGAAAUAUCGUUCUUCUUUCUUACCCUUUAAAAAUGAAUUUAAAAAUAAAUUUUACACUUGACAAAUUGUAAUUUAAUUAUUUUUUCCUAUAUUAAGGACUUUAAAAACAUCUAGAAUUUCUUUCCUUGUUUAUAGAAAAUCCUAAUAUUUAGGACGUGAAAAUCAACUAAACUUACCUUAUAUAUUUUUCCCUUAGUUGAAUUAUAUAUCAUAACUAUAAUAUACAAUCUU
rnacentral:lncRNA from 1 species